GCCUGGGUGGCUCAGUCAGUUGAGCGUCUGACUUCAGCUCAGGUCAUGAUCUCGCUGUUCGUGGGUUCCAGCCCCGCAUCGGGCU
rfam:Felis catus isolate Cinnamon breed Abyssinian chromosome E2, whole genome shotgun sequence.